rnacentral:snRNA from 1 species
GUGCUCGCUUCGGCAGCACGUAUACUAAAAUUGGAACAAUUCAGAGAAGAUUAGCAUGGCCCCUGCACAAGGAUGACACACAAAUUUAUGAAGUGUUCCCUAGUUUU